GUUAAGUUUAUUCUCCUCAUCUCGAUUCAUUUCUUCUCCCUCUUUCGUGCCCUAACAUCGAACCACUCCGGUCACUUCUCUCGAUCCAUCACCGCUAGCACCUGAGCGCCGCUCACCGCUACCCUUCCCAUGAGACCAGAUCGUGUGAGGCCAGAUUCCUCAUCCUCUCCUUGUGUUUGCGAUGCUUGAUUUGCCCGACGCCACCGACCACGCUAUGCUGACUGUCACGAACCCAAUCGCCGUGUUGCCUUGACUGCCAGACAUCGGUGCCCUAGCUCCGAUUCCUUUCUCCUCGAUUCUUCUCACUGUCGUGGUCUGAUCCAUCACCGCUGACGACUCUCAUCGGCUGGCCUGGUCGGGUUUCCUCCGUAAGCAUGGGUCAUUGCUGUUGGCCCCUUUCUGGCCACAAGUCUCCAUCGUCCCUUCGGUCAUGCCCUAGUUUUGGAUCCACUGCCGUUGCUCUCUCCAUCCGAGAUCACCUCAGCUAUCAGUUGCCACUCUUCCGGCCAUAAGAAGAUCCAACCUGUAACACUACGACCUUGCUAAAUUUUGGCUAGCAAGUAUUCUUUUAGGGUACUUGGCAUAGAGGACAGUAGCUUCAUAAUCCUCCGGCCACAGACAUCGAAUGGCUGACAUCAACAGAGCCUUAAUCUAUCAUCGCCGCAUGUCACCAGAGCUAUCGUCAGAGCCCUGUUUCUCCUCACUCUCUAGAUUUGGAGAGGACAAUCAUCAACGAUGCCAUCUUCCUCAUCAUAUUCGAAGUAGAGAGCUUCUUGUUCAUCACAACUAUGAUUGGAAUCUCCAUUGAGCUAUUGUAGAUCAAAUUGAGACAAUAAAUUAGAUCUGACCAGAUUGUUAGGAUUAGUAUGUGCUUAUGGUUAGUUUGGGACUGAUUUAGAUUUUUUGUAUAAGAUUUAGGUUCAUUUUGGUACUAGAUUGAUUAACUAGGUGAUGAUGGGGAGUUGUGCUUAGAAUUGGAAGUUUAUUGAAUUGAAUCCAUAUUUUCUA